rnacentral:rRNA from 1 species
ACGGGAGGCAGCAGUGAGGAAUAUUGGUCAAUGGACGAGAGUCUGAACCAGCCAAGUAGCGUGCAGGAUGACGGCCCUAUGGGUUGUAAACUGCUUUUGUACGGGAAUAAAGUGACCUACGUGUAGGUUCUUGCAUGUACCGUAAGAAUAAGGACCGGCUAUUCCGUGCCAGCAGCCGCGGUAAUACGGAAGGUCCGGGCGUUAUCCGGAUUUAUUGGGUUUAAAGGGAGCGUAGGCCGUGCUUUAAGCGUGUUGUGAAAUGUAGGCGCCCAACGUCUGCACUGCAGCGCGAACUGGAGCACUUGAGUACGCAGGAAGUAGGCGGAAUUCGUCGUGUAGCGGUGAAAUGCUUAGAUAUGACGAAGAACUCCGAUUGGGAAGCCAGCUUACUGUAGCGCCACUGACGCUGAUGCUCGAAAGCGUGGGUAUCGAACAGGAUUAGAUACCCUGGUA